GCCUUGAUGAUAUUGGACUCAACCUCUGAACCUUCUCAGGUCUCCACUGUCUGCCAUUCCUUUUUCUCCUCUGCUCUCUGGAAGUCCUCAGCUACCUUCAGAGCUGAUGCUGAAGCUCCUCUUGUAAUGACCACCAGAGGGCAGCAAAGGAUGCGCACCAGACUGGGAGAAUAAGCCUACAGCCUUCAAAGGUAGGGGUGUGUGUGUGUGUGUGUGUGUGUGUGUGUGUGUGUGUGUGAGUGAGAGAGAGAGACCACCAGAGGGCAGCAUAGGAUGUACACCAGACUGGAAGAAUAAGCCCACAGCCCCAAAGGUAGGUGUGUGUGUGUGUGUGUGUGUGUGUGUGUGUGAAGGGUGUCUGCAGCAACCACAACCCAGCCCUUCCUGUACAUAAUGGACUUUAUUCACAACAUGGAAACGAGGGACCACUUUGCCCACAAUUAUAGCAGUCCCUCAUGCAAAUGAGGAACUAUAUUUGCACCAAUCACAUUUUUUGGAUGGAAAUGGCUGCUAGAGUUCCCCCAGGCUUAUGAUGGUAAAAAGCUCUCACACACAGGGGCUUAAAACAGUGGCCAAAGCCUUCAGGAGCCGCAGUGCUUUGGCAGCAAACAGCUGCAGUUGGCCUGGAGAUUUCCUCCAUGGAGAGUUGAAAGCAGUAGGUGCUGGCAUAAGCUGCAGUCAGGCUGGCUACUUGGCUGACAGUCUUUGCCCAAGGCAGGCUCUUCAGAAAGACAAGGCGUGCACAGCAUGUGACUGGCAGCCUGGUGUGUUGGCUAAGAUUAGGUUCAAGUGUGAGGGGAGAGCCCAAUGUGGUUAAACAAGAUAGCCAUUUAUCUUGCUCAUUCCAAAAGCCAUUCGAAAGCUGAACUCCAAGGCCACGGCAGACACAUUGCAGUGUCAGGGAUAUCAGCCCCUGUAUCUUGUUGAAUGAGAGGCUUCUGGUCCCCAAGUUAACCCAUGGUUCAAGAUGGCUACCAUUACUACAGCCAUUGCAAAACAAAAGCAACUCCCCCAACCUCGCAGAGCUGGAAAGAGCCCAGUCCCUCUCUUUGAGAAUGUGACUUGCCCAUUCCAUCCCCCUGACCAGAACUUGGGUACUGGACCUCACUUAGGGGAGGCUGGAAAGCACAGGCUUCGAUAGGCUUCCGUUAGGAACAGAUAGAUACCCAGCCCCCUCUCCUAAAAAAAAAAAAAGACCUAAGACCCUAUCUGGGAGGAUAACUUUUAGUCCCUGCAGAAGACUGAUUAAAACUAAUUUAACUGUGAAUUCCAGAACCUGCUCUUGGGUAAGUCCCCCUAGGCCAAUUUAUAAGGACUUGGAGUUGUACCAUUUGUUCACUGUGGCAACACCAAGUCUAUCCAGAGGUCUUGCUGGUCAUGAGCAAGCACCCACAAGCCCUUCUCCCACUGCCUGGGAAGACUGCAGUGGGCUGUUAAUAGCUGCAGAGCUUUCAAGAUACAACAAUGACGUGGUAACAGCCUCCUGGCAAGCACCGUACACUGGACACCGGCUCACUCCAGGUCACCCAGCUCCUGCCCAGUGUGACUCAAAGUCAGAGGAAGGAGGUCACCCUUCACCUACACAUCUCAACCUGCAAGAAGUUUACAGCUCACUUUGUUUUGCUUUCCCGUGUGCGAAUAAUGUUUGUUUUUAUUUUUAAAACAAAGAACAGAA